AUGUUUACCGUCGAAUCUGACACCAUCAGAAGCACACAUUCGAAAACAAAAGAGAAAGAAAUCACACAGGCUGUGCUGGUCCAGCAGCAGGACUGGUGCACAGAAGGACCACAGCAUGCUGAAUUUGCUCAUUUAAAAGUCCACCACAUCUGUCUUACAGACAGACCUAACACCUUCCACCAUAGCUUCCUUUCACUAGAGGCCAAUACUCUUCACAUCCUGGAAAGACUACAGACUGCUAUAUAG
rnacentral:lncRNA from 1 species